rnacentral:tRNA from 1 species
GAGGGUAUAGCUCAGUGGUAGAGUGCAUGCUUAGCAUGUAUAAGGUCCUAGGUUCGAUCCCCAGUACCUCCA